rnacentral:SRP_RNA from 1 species
UAGCACACAGGGGCGGCUGCGCCGCCCCUCUCGGGCAGGGCCGGGCCCUGCGCAAUAGGAACCCCCGAACCUUGUCAGGUCCGGAAGGAAGCAGCAAUAAGAGGGAUCUCCUAUGUGCCGCAGGCAAACCCGGUCCUGCCGGGGAUGUGCUA